GUCUAUAUGAUAAUUAAUAUUUAGUCUAGCCUGCCCAGUGAAUAGUUAAACGGCCGCGGUAUAUUGACCGUGCAAAGGUAGCAUAAUAAUUAGUUUUUUAAUUGGAAACUUGAAUGAAAGGCUGGACAAAGAAUAAACUGUCUUUUAAUUUCUAGAUUUAAUUUUAUUUUUAAGUCAAAAAGCUUAAAUAAAUAAAAAAGACGAUAAGACCCUAUAAAUCUUAAUAAAAGAUAAUUUUAAAAUAAUUAUUUGUUUAUUAUUUUUAAGAUUAUUAAUAUUUAGUUGGGGCAACAAGAAUAUAAUAAAAAAUUAUUCUAAAUUUAAACAAAAAUAUUUGGACAGCAUGAUCCUUUAUUAAGGAGUAAAAGUUUAAGUUACUUUAGGGAUAACAGCGUAAUUUUUUUUGAGAGUUCAUAUCGAAAAAAAAGUUUGCGACCUCGAUGUUGAAUUAAAAUUUAUUUUAAGGUGCAGAAGCCUAAAAAUUUAAGUCUGUUCGACUUUUAAAAUUUU
rnacentral:rRNA from 1 species